ACCACUGAGGAACUUGAAAGAAAUGCUUUGUUUGACCUUUUGGAGAAACAGCUUCCCUCUAAGGAUGUGGAGUGUGAGAAAGGCAAACUUUAGUUUCUGGCACAGUUGUUUUGGAGAACUGGCAAAGUUGCUGCAAAGGUGCUCUGUUCAGCAUUGGAAUAAAUCAGAGGGCCUCAGGAGUCUUCUGUGAAACAAGGCUGCUUCAGAGAAGAUCCUUCCCUCACCCCAGUGUUAUUAUACAUCAAAUUUAUUAAGAUCUGAAGAAAUAUAGGAGAAAACACCUGGAGGGAGAAAUCAGAGAGGACAUAGAGAUUAAUGUGCUGAAGCAGCUCCUACUUGCAACGACGAAAAAGUGGAAUUUUAGCUGCUUCUGAGGGACAGAAUAAGGCUAAUGAAAUCAUGUCAGCUGAGCCACUUGAGGAGGGGCAAGCACACCAAGAUGGCAGAGAGAAACAAUUCCUGCAGAGAAGAGGAUCUGCUCAUUUGCAAUACGUUGGUGACAGCUGCCAUGUGCCAAAGGAUUGUGUGAUGGAGGACACGGCAAUGUUGCGGCAUUUGCUGGAAUGCAGAGGCUCCCCAUAACGUACAUUUUGUUUCUGCUCCAUCUCAUUGCAGAGGCUAAAAUAAGCACUAACAUGUUUUAUGUAGCAGAAAAGUGGUCUUUGAUUUUCCUGCUGCCUCUGGCUGGUUUCAGCUCGGUUUUGUGCAGCGCAGGAACGUUGUGGGUUGCUGCUGUUGGCUGUUUCUCUUCAGGACUGUCUUGCUGGCCACUGCUUGUGCUUCAGUGUGCCUGACCUAUGCUUGGCUGCUCCAGGGUUGGUGUUUCACACUGCUGUAGAUACUGAGAGUUCCAGAGACUGCCUCUUACAUCAGCCAGAAACUGUCACUUAUCCUGUUAUCUUUCACAGCACCUGUUAUUAAAGCCUGUCUUUUCCACUCAGGUUUUCUUUGAGCAGUGUGGCAAAUAAAAAUAAUCGGUUGCAGUGGUAACAAAACAACACACAAUAGGACCUUGCUCCCUACAGCCUGGUGCCUAUUUCCCAUGGAUAUAUCUUGAAUCACUUUGUUAUACCUCUUUCCACAAUGCUAAAACUUCUGUUGUGCAUUUCUGACACUCUAAUUGUGGUAUAUGCAUGUAUUUAGUAUAUUCUCAGGCUCCAAGUACUAGAAGCACCACAGGUUCUUUAAAUGUUACCCUUGAAAGCUUCAGCAUCACUUAUUUUUAUUAUUUUUGUUAUUUUUGUUACUUUUGUUACUUUUGUUACUUUUGUUAUUUUUAUUUUUAUUUUUGUUAUUCUUUUUACACUGCUGCUGAUGUCUUUGGGAGACAUUUAUUAGUUAAGGUACAGAUAUCCUCUUUCACUGUUACCUAGUUUGGCAUUCACAAUCUCAAGUCCCUUCCAUCAUUUCGUUUGCACAGACACAGUAGUUAAGAUACUUCUCUACUUCUAAUAUUCUUCUAAGUUACAACUUUUAACAGAUUUCCCACCCAGCCAGAUGUUUCAGACAAAAUUCAGGGAAUCUUGACUGUUGCUAUUUUUUUUAAUCCCCUUUAUAGGCCUAUUGGGUUUCUGCUUUCUCCAGGAAUCUUUUUUGCUCCCCUCUUGAUAAGCAUACCUGGAUGCCCCUCAUCUUGUCUGGCAUAAUAGAUCCUGGCAUGACCAAAAGUUUGGGUUUUUCCUGUGAAGUCCUUGCAUUUUUCUUUUUAUUUUAUUCUACAAAUUUUCUUUCCAGAGAGCCCUAAGCUCAUCAUUUCAUAAAAUCAUGGGAAAAAUUAGAUUGAAAAGGACUUUUUGAGUUAUUUGAUAUAUCUUCCAUUUUCAAAGCAAGGCUGACUUCAAAGUUAGACCCAACUGGGCCCUCACUCUGUCAAGUUCUGAGGCUCUCAAGGAAGAGGUUUCCACAGCCUCCCUGGCUGACCUGUUCCAGUGCUUAACUGUGAGAAGUGUUCCAGUGCUUGUGGUGAGAAGCUUUCUUCCUUAAGUAAAAGAAAAUAAAGAUUCAAUUAUUGCAUUUUGUGCUUUUUGCUGCUUGUGCUUUCAUUGUGUGUCCCUUGGGAAAGCCUGGCUUUACCAUUCCAUGGAGAUGUUGUGAGACUGCUGUUGGAUUUCCACCUUCUUGGCCCCAUUUUAACCAUCCCACUUCCUACAGCCUGUCCUGGGUGUCCUGUGUCCCAACCCCCGUGCUGUCCCAGUGGCUCUCUGCAGAGAUUAUUGUUGCUAGUCACCUUUUUUUUUUAAUAUAAGGGAUUAAUUUGAGACUAAAGAGUGAAAAGAUUCUCCUGCUCUUUAUUUUUUACUGUUUAGUAAAGAUGUUGUUAUCC